UAGCGUGGUCUACAGAGCUAGUUCUAGGACAGUCAGGGCUACACAAAGAAACCCUGUCUUGAAAAAAACCAACCAACCCCCCCCAACUUGUUUUCUUUCUUUACAAACCCCAGGGUGUCCUUCCUUAUGCUCCCUUUUCCCUUCAAUUCUAAAAUCCCCAAUUUGCCAUCCAUGGUGGGGGUCCCAUGGCUAGGCAGAGGCUACCCACUCCUGCAGAGACAGCUGCCUAUAUACAGAGGUCUCUCUUGGUCAGCUGGGCCCUGCAUUUACUACAGGACUUUCAAAAGCAAGCAGCUGGCUCCAGUCCUACUAGCACCAGUCUCAGAAGCUUAAGCCAGUCCCUUAGUUUUGUGGACCCCACCCUUCUGAUUUGCAGAUUGCAAAUAAGUAUGCCUUAUUAGAGUGGAUUACAUCAGUUGAUGCAGGUAACAAAUGAAGCAUGGCACUCAGCAUAGCAAUCCAUACAUUACGGGCUUUCAAAACGGAGUGCAUCCUCCUUCCUUCCCUGUCUGAAAUGACUUUGGGGAGAGAAGGGGAGACGGCUGCUUUCUAGGGCUGUCUCUGGAGAUUUGGGUUCCUAGGUGAAUUUGGCUUGGAGACAAAAAACUGAAAAAAAAAAUGAAAAGUGCAUUGACUGAGAUUCUGACUGGCUCUGCACACAUUCACAUAGUAGAGUGAUCUCGAUAAGUCAUUGAUGGUGGAGUCUGGAUGGCACCCUUGAUGCUGAGGACUUGUGUGUGCAAACUGAUAUGCCCUUGGAAGCCCUUUCAGCUCUGGAGUCCUAUAGACCUUCACAAGCACUGGGAGCCGUUCCACAGACUGCCUCCAAUGGAUUUUUGUUGUUUUCCAGUAGUUCUUAACUCCCAGAGAAGACUCUAUUAAAGAACAAUAAUUCCAAAUGCAUGCACAGAAUUUUUUUAAAAGAGAACGGAGUGCUCAGUUGCUGAUGAGGAUGGGGGAAACAAAGGAUUGAGACAUUCUGAGCCCUCUACAAAGUGUAAUGUGUGGUCAGACCAUCAGUGGGCCUCAUUCCUGACGGGAUCUUCUUUGGCCCAGACAUUCCCCCAUAUAAUGCAGUCUCCAUUACUGCAUAUGAACUCCCACAGCACUCUGCGGCAAACUGAAUUGCAUCUCAGAAUAUUAUCCUCAGUACUUAGCAUUCUGGUUUCACGCCGGAAUGGGAGGUGACAUCUUGGAAGAUCACAAAUGUUAUGGAGACAGAAUGUUUGAGUUCACAUUAUGGCUACUUGUAUUACAGGCAAUUGACUAGAUUUCUUUUAACUUCUGUUUUCUUCUCUGCAGGGCAGUAAUGAUGAUCCUCAUUCUACAAGGUUACUGCGAGCACCAUGAGAAAUAACAUUGGCAUCUUAUUUAUUUAUUUUUUGAGCCGUGAUCUCACUAGGCAGUCAGGCUAUCAGAUUCAGACUCAUUAUGUAGCCCAGACUGGCCUUGAACUAACAAUUUUCCUGCCUCAGCUGGGCUUACAGUCAUAAGUCCCCAUACCCAGCUCAGCUUUUGCCUUCAAGGGAGUGCCUGUUGGAAUUGUUGGUCUGCAGAGGGACAGCUGCUGCUGCAUGUGAAGAUGUGGUGAUCUUUGUGGACAUCCAGGGCACCGCACACUGAUGCUCUGACAACCAGAGCUUGCCUAUUUCAUGUAUUGUUCUCAAGUUGUGCUUGAGAAUCCAACAAGCUAAGUAGCAGAAAGCUAAGUUUCUUUUUAAUUAAAAAACUUAGGUCAGCAUACGAAGUAUUGGGUUUCAUCGUGGCAUUUUCAGACAUUACAUUUUGUCUUCAAUUGUUCUCAACUCCAGUCCCCCUUCAAAUUUUCUACUGUAUGUAUUCUGUGACCCUCUCUAGUUCCCAGUUCCCUUAGGAUCUCUUCAUCCCCUCUCAGGGUCCUCUUUCUGGCUUGUAACCUAGAAAUACAUGCAGAGACAUGCAUAUACAUAUGUAACUUAAGAUGAGGUUGCAUAUAUGGGAGACAACACUAAGUAUAUAUAUUUCUGAAACACUCUUAUUUUGCUAGUUUAUCUACUUACAUCCAUUUUUUGUAACCAUCAUUUAUGAUUUCAUAUUUCUUUGUAUCUGCAUAAGAUUCCAUUUUGCAUAUGUAUGUAUUUUUAACUUGUAAAUUUUGACAAUUUGUACAUAUGAAUGAUGAUUAUUAAUGAAUAUUAGUGAAUUUUUAUUAUUCCAUUACUCCUCAUUACCGUCUCUUCUCCUCCUGCUGGACCCCUUCCCAACUAAACCACCUUUUUUUAAUACCAUAAUUUUUUUUGUGGAAGUGGGUGGCCCAUUGAGUUUAAUUGAGGCUGCUUGUAUGAGCAUGGGUGGGAGUGCUUACUGGGGCACGGGCAACUUCCUAGUGACAACACCACUGAGGAAAAGGCCUCUCUUUCCUCCAGCAACCAUUAACUACCAAUAGCUCCCCAGGGAGGGGUGGGGCCUCAGGAACCCCUCCCUAACCUGUGACAGAAUGUGGACAAUGCUCACUGUUGUGCUGGUAUUAAGUGGGUAACAGCAGUUACCAACAGCUGUGAAUGCACGCGUGAGUACAGCAGCUAGGUCAAAGCUGGAAGGAAGCUGUCCAUAGCACCCUCCCCAUCUUCUAGCUCGUAUGUUCUUUCUGCCUCCUCUUCCAUGAUGUUCCCUGAGUCUCAUUUAGAGCCAAUCACUCAGCAGUUUCCUCAGCACUUUCACUGGCUAAGCAUCUCUGCAGUAACCAUUGUCCACAACAAAAUGAGGCUUCUCUGACCAGGGCUGACACUAGCACUAUAUGAAUAUAAACAUAAAUACUGGGCUGAUAGGAUGGCUCAGCAGGUAAAGGCGCUUGCUGCCAAGCCUGAUGACUUGAGUUCAAUCUCCAGGUCCCACAUGGUAGGAGAGAACUUAUUCCCACAAGUUGUUCUCUCACUCUAAUGCACAUGUUGUAGCAUGUGUGUACCCCUGCCCACAAAUAAUUCAAUGAAACAUUAAUUAAUUAAUUAAUAAAAAUAAGAAAGUAUAAAUUGUUAGAAAGAAAUCCAAGGACAUAACAUUUAAGUAAUUUUCCUCCUAGUGCUCUGUGACCUCCUCAGCUAUGGGCUUUUGACUAGCUUUAAAUUCCCUCUUGUAGAGCAUGUCCAAAUCCAAUCUAUAAGUGGUCAGUUACUGCUGGGGUCCAGUCAGUAUCAGUCCUAGGCUGAAAGAGCCAUCUAUUCUGGACUGAUGUCUUUAGGACUGUGUUUGGAACCAGUCAAACAGCCCCGGGCCUGACCUUGAGUGGGAGAGUGUGGAUCAGGGAAGUCCUAGCUACCCAGUGGCAUUAAGGACAAGACAGAGGCAUCUUGUCAUUUCAGGAGAGCUCUCAGUUAAUACUGGAGACCAUGGUUUUAUUCAAGCAUCCUCUUAAAUGGCUUUCCAAAAGCCAGGGUCCUGGCAGAAGACAUCUAUUAUUAUGUAUAUAGGGCUGACUAGGAAACACUUCCUUUAACCCUAGAGAUGGCCCUCAGACUUUCCGUAAUGGCAUGUCUUCAGACACAUCCCACUAGUCCCCAGGCAUGUCCCACCAGCCCUCAUGAUGGGUUUGGGUCCUAGGUCUAUUGUUACACAAACUAGAAACCAUUCUCUACUGUGGCCAGGCCAUCCAGAGGUAACCAGCUGACACCUAAAAGACAAUAGGAUAUUCGAGCUCCUGGAACUGAGCUGAGGCCUACAUGCAAAAAUAUCAUAUUCAGACUCCAACAAGUUACCCCACAUUAGUCAUGCUACUGUUAUCCCAGUAGCCCAUUUUCCUCCCUCCCUCCCUUCCUCCCUUCCUCCAUCCCUUCCUUCCUUCCUUCCUUCCUUCCUUUCUUUCUUUCUUUCUUUCUUUCUUUCUGGGUAUAAGACUGUCUAUGACUACAUUUUCUUUGUUUAUUAAUCUAUUGAUGAACAUCUAGUUUAGUUCUAUUUCUUGGAUAUUGUGAAUAGUAUAACAGUAAACAUGGAUGGGCAAGUUAUUUCUAUAAUGUGUUAUUGACUUAGAGUCCUUCUGGUGUAUACUCAUUGGUAUAGUUGAGUCAAGUAUAGCUCUAGUUUCAGUUUUUUUAAUUAAAAUUAUUUUAAUAUCCGUA